UACGUGUCGGUUCUCUCCAUCGCUUUUCUCUCCAACUCUCGAUUCCCAAUGCAGCGCCGCCUUGCCGCCCUCGAUCGUGCCCUCUCGAAGGCCCUGGGAAGAAGGUUCCCGCCAGAUCCUCCACCGCCUUUAUACGCGUAUAAAGAGCCCCCUGCCUUCGAUGAAGGGCAUUCGCCGCAUCCCCACUGACGCAGUUGUAUCUCUAUCUUUGUCUAUUCUCCACCACUUCUAUCAGCACCGAUUUGUGGAGAGCGACAGCAGGAUGGGCAGGGUGGAGGACAAGCAACCAGAGUUCGGUGGCAGCAUAUCUUGGUCGUGCCGUCGAGCCAGGCCCGCCGGAAGUCGGUGACGAUGGCGCGGUGGUGCUUAGUGGCGUUGACGACGAGGUAACACGCGAGAAGCUCCUCGAGGCCCCGCUACGACGCUCAGACGUCGUCCUGGCCGUGACUAUCUCUGCCAUGCUCUCCAGGAAGUCCCCCUCUGUAGCAUGGUGGUCGCCAUUGGAGGCUGCUCCUAUGCUGGCCUUCUUCCCUUCAACCAGCCGCUCGGGUUCACAUGUAGUAGCCGUCGCCGUCACGUCCUGUCCGUCGGCGAUGCCCUGCAGCUGCUCUUGGCCUCCUCCUCCCAGUCAACCUUCUUUGCGCCACCGGUCGGGCCUGGUGAGGAUCGGUCGCAGCUUCAGCCCGUGGAGCCGGUCGGCAGCGGCCCUAGGCUUUGAUGGCGGGGUGGAUUCCGAGCGCGGGCCACGGUGGUGGCCGGCUUCGUGGUCAUGCAAGCUAUGACCUCCACCUUCAGCCGGCGACAGGAGAUGCACGCACAUGCGGCCUACCAAGUCUCCAGUGCCGCCGCCUUGAGGAGCAGCAGGCCCUCUCACUCUCAGGCGCGAACAUCCACGGCGGAGGAAACCGGCUUGCUUGCUGGCGUGCAUUGGACGCGAUAAUGGACGACGCGCAGCCUCACAGGACGGCGGUGGUUUGUGUGACGAAGGCGAUGGCUAGAGGGCGACGGCAGCGAUUUGAGGGAGGGAGGUUGGAUAGGUACUUUCUGAGGACAUGCCGUGGAUGGGCGGCUCGCCGCCAUGGCCUGCGUGGUGGAGGAGCUCUGGUUGUCCGCAGAAGGACUCGAGUGGAGAGUCGAGACUCGAGAAGCUCCUGCAUGUCGCGGUGUCGGCGGCAACCGCAGACAUGGCGUGGAGAGGAGAGUAUAGAGACGAUGGCGCAUGCAGGAGAGCCGAGGUCGUGUCUGUCCGCGAUGCAGAACUCCGGCCGCGAGCUCACCCAGCCUGCAUGCAUCUCGAGCUCGCAGCCGUCGUUUCGACCUUGCGCCUAUCUUCGGCACCCCGCCGUUUCCGGCCCGUGAGGUCGCCGUGAGGAUCAGUUGCCUCCGGUAUAUCAGCGCGGAAACCCUCACAAAGGGUUCUUCAGCUUCCUGUCGAUUCGCCUCCACUUGAACUGCACGACGGUGAGCGCACGACUGUCUUCUCCUCGCUCUCUUGCCGUGCGCCCUGCUGCCGCGCAUUCGCUGUGUGCGGCGUGCUUCUUGCAUGCGCGGGCUAUUGCGUCGCGUGCGUGCAGGGCUUACGAGCUAGCUGCUGCUGCAUGUGUGAUGUGUGGGCUUGAUGCAUGCGUGUAGUAGCUAGGUGAUGGUCUCAUACUGGAUCCGUAUACGGAUGGUGUAGAUGCACUACUGAAUUUCUUAGUAACUCGAAUAUAUAGCUCUUUGUUUCGUAUCAGAAGCAAACUCAUGAUGGUUCCUGAAUAUUAGGCGCCAUAUUGUAUUUUUUUUAUAUAAGUCACCGGAUGUUGCUUUGUUUAAUUAUUUCACUGUUGAUCGCACUAUUGUACUAUUCUUUACAGAUAAAGAUCAAAUGAAGGGAAA